UGACCUUUCAAGAAAUUUAUUAGUUGUAUAUACAUUGAGAGGGAAAUUGCUGAAAAGAUCAAUGUUGAUACAAUAAUAGAUAAAUUUCGAACCAUGAAAAAAUGAAGAGUUCAAUAUAAAUAAAUUUUUAGUAUUUGAAAUAUAUAUAUAUAUAUAUACUAUUCAUUGAUAAAAAAAAUUCUAGUAUUUUAUUUCUCCCCUCCAACGGAAAAAUCCUGGAUACGCCCCUGGAUCCAUGUGAGCAGCACGGGACCUAGAGCCUUUGAGACCAAGAGGCUUCACCAUCCAUGAUAUAUAAGGGGUAGAGUAGCAAAGAGGAGCCUUAAACCUAGCGCCACAUGAGAGCUCCUCUCUUCUCUAAUUCAUUUUUCUCCCAGCCACAAAACCUUCAUAGAACCCUCACCACUUCAUCAUUUUCUUCUCCAGUCUUCCCUGACCCAACAUUAAAUUUAAACUCCAUCGUCCACAGAAACCCAAAGGAAGGACAAGUCUUGUUGGCGAGUGCGUUACCCAGUUCUAAAUCAGUUGUACGAGCACUAUGAACUUAUGGCCUCUAAACCUAACAGAUUGGAAAUGGUCCUUGCCUACAAGGUUGAAGUAUGCAUAGCAUCAACAGGAAAACAAAAGAGGUCUAAAAGAGCUCUGGCCCUAUAAAGAUGGUGUUGACGAAGACAACGGUGUCGAUCCAUUCUUGGGAACUGAUGCGAUAUGAUAAAGAGAAGGAUCGGGCUUAGGCGACCGACACGUCCGGAGACCGGCGAGUUUAUGGCGACGAUGAUUGAGCUGAUGAAGAUUUGGGUUUGGGAUGUGAGACCUCUACUUUCUUUCCUUGGGGUUGAGAGUUGCGAGUGGGCAAUGAACCAUUUACUCAUUUUCCGUUGGUUUAAUUUGAUGUAAUUUACCUCUUUACAUUCCAGACAAGUGUUACAUUUGGUUCCGAAUGGUUA